rnacentral:rRNA from 1 species
GACGAACGCUGGCGGCGCGCUUAACACAUGCCAGUCGAACGGUAAGGCCUGCUUUCCCUUGUGGAUUGCGGGUACUCGAGUGGCGAACGGGUGAGUAACACGUGAGUGAUCUGCCCCCAACUUGGGUAUAAGCCUGGGAAACUGGGUCUAAUUCCCGAUAGGACUGCAGGGUGGUGCCUGUGGUGGAAAACGAUUUUCUAGUGGUUGGGGAUGAGCUCGCGGCCUAUCAGCUUGUUGGUGGGGUAAUGGCCUACCAAGGCGGCGACGGGUAGCCGGCCUGAGAGGGUGGACGGCCACAUUGGGACUGAGAUACGGCCCAGACUCCUACGGGAGGCAGCAGUGGGGAAUAUUGCACAAUGGGCGGAAGCCUGAUGCAGCGACGCCGCGUGGGGGAUGACGGCCUUCGGGUUGUAAACUCCUUUCGACCGCGAGGAAGCCACCUGGUUGGAAGGGUGGUGACGGUAGUGGUAGAAGAAGCACCGGCUAACUACGUG